CAAUCAGCGCCUUCUGCAAACCCUCCUCCCUCUCUGGCUCUCUCGCGGCUCGCCCUCGCCUUCGCUCUCGCCUCUCGUUUGACGCUUGCUCGCUCUGUCGCUCUCGCUCGCGGCUCGCCAUCGCCUCUCAGUCUGUAGCUGGGGAGGUCGCAUCUAUGGCUACUGGCUCUGGCUCUCUAACUCUUGUUCUCGCUGGGUGACUGGGUCGCUCGCCUCUCUGCAUUGCCAUUGGGACACUUUGGGUCAAUCUUUUGAGGCAGGCAGUGGCCACUGGCCAGUGGGCAUCCCUUCAUACUCUAGAGACUAAACGACUAGAGUUAAGUUAAUUUAUUUGAUUAUGUUCUAUUUAAUGUGUAUUUUUUUUUUGGGGGGGCUAAUUUAACACCUAUAAUGAGUUUAGGAAUUAUGACUUUAGGCUUUUUAUUAAUUGUUAUUUGACUACUUCAUUUAGUUAGGGAUUGUCCUUGUUAUAAAUUGGGAGCACUGGCAGCCUUUAAACCUUCCAAGAAACCAAUCAAACAACCUUCCAAACGCUCCUAACUCACCGGCAACACACAACCAACACAACAAGUCUAUUAAAGAACAGAAUUUAAGUGCAAGAACAAAACAAGAAAGAAAAUAUUCAAACUAUAUAAGAAGACAGAAUUUAUCCUGGUUCAUGCCAAUUGAAUUGGCACUAUAUCCAGCCUUCAAACCACCACCGAGCGCAGCCUUCUUUAUUGAUGAAAACAGUACAAGACUUAUCUCUUCUCUCUCUCACGAUACAAGCCUUCCCAAAAGAGUACAAAACUAUAACUCACAGCUUUCUUACUCUUAAAGCUCUCGUGAAAUCAGAAGAGAACAUGCAGUUCUCUUUCCCUCAGCCCCCCCUGCCCUAUUUACAGAGAAUAGGGUGAUAUUUCUUAGGGCUGGACAUGAUAUUACCGGUUUUGCACUUCAUUAAUAACUAAUUAUUACAAGAAAGCCCCCAGCCUAUCAACUAAUCAGAACCGCAUACAAGACUGCAUAUUUAACCUAUCACUAACUCUAGACAACAAUUCUUAAUAGUCCUGGCUGAAUUGUGUUAAUUGUGAUUGAAUAUUUGAAUUGUCGAUGCUAAACUUGUUAAAAUUUUGAUUUUAUUCUUUGACAUGGUAUGAAUAUUUAUUUAUUUUUUUGAUGUUUUAUUAUAAAAAAUAAAAUUUAAAUGUAUACGAUUCAGGACCAUUUUUACAUUUCGACUCAGGGCCCCAAAAUCUCAGGUAUAGCCAUCCUCGUCAACGUUUGAUUUGAUGCUCAAGUUCUUCGAGAAUGGCUUGGAGGAGCCGAAGAUUGUGGCAUAUUACAAUGGUGGACGGGUUGAUUGGGAGCUCUAGAUUCUACAGUUCGAAUUCAAAGGUGGACUUGAAGCGACUUCGGCCCAUGAUUUUGAAGAGGAUUGAGCAGAGAGGCAAGGAUUACCCGGUGAAGGGCAUGGUCCCUGUAGCACAAGACGUUCUCAGGAACAGAGGUCUCCUCAUCCAGGGUGUCUCCACGCUUCUCAAAGUCGUCCCUGUCUGGGCCUGCAAAUUUUGUCCAGAAGUAUAUAUUGGUGAGCAAGGCCAUCUUAUUAAGACUUGUCAUGGUUACAGGCGCAGGGCCAAGAACCAGGUUCAUGAAUGGAUCAGUGGGAAACUGACUGAUAUACUUGUACCUGUGGAGACGUUUCACCUAGAUAAAAUGUUCCAAGGUGUAAUUACACACCACCAAAGAUUUGAUUUUGAUCGUGUACCUGCAGUUAUUGAGCUCUGCUGGCAGGCAGGGGCAGAUCCAAAUGAUAUCAAUCUAAAUCCUAGUCAAUGGGAUCUGGAGAGCGUUGGAAGUGGAAUCACUGGUGCCGAGUCUCUGUCACCUGGUGAUCUUGGAUUGGUAGCUAGGGGAACUUUUAUGGCUUGGGAGGCGCUUAGGUCUGGGGUGCAAAAGUUAUUGAUGGUUUAUCCAGCAAAAGUAUGUAACCACUGCUCUGAAGUUCAUGUGGGCCCUUCUGGACACAAAGCUCGACUCUGUGGGGUUUUUAAGUUUGAGAGUUGGCGUGGGUCUCACUUUUGGAAGAAGGCAGGGGUGGAUGAUUUGGUGCCUCCGAAGCUUGUGUGGUACCGACGGCCUCAAGAUCCUCUUGUUCUUCUGGAUGAAGGACGUGGAUUUUAUGGGCAUGCCCCAGCAAUGGUGGACCUGUGUGUAAAGGCAGGUGCUAUUGUGCCGCCCAAUUAUUUAUGUAUGAUGAAGAUGAAUGGUAAUUCAGCACCUGCUUGAGUCAGGCCUUUAUUCCUUUCUGAUUGUUUUGGUGGGUGGAAAGAUAUCAAUAUGAAACGAGGAGCCAUGAUUUCUCUUUCAAGGUGGGAGCAUGAUCCACUCACUGUUUCACAUGGCAGAAUGGUGUUCUGGAGCAUUCCCCCAAUCCAAAGCUCUGCGAGGAAAGCUUCGAGAACUUCCUAUCUGCUUUUGUGAUGAUGGAAAGGGACCAUUUUACCAUCUGUUGUUUUAAUUUUUCUUUUCAAGAAAAAACAGGUUCUGAACGGCAAGAUUAUUGGGAAGUUCAUUAUGUUCAGCUAGGUGUUUUACUGGGCUAGUUCAACGAUGAAUCCUAUUGGAUGCUAAAUUCACUUGUUUAACCACAGCCGUAAUUGUGGCAUUUCAUGCGUAUUCUACAAACUAACGACCAAGAAUGCAGCCUACAUGACCAGCUUUUAUGUUGUACACGAAUCUCUCUCUCUCUCUCUCGAUAGAAAAACAGAAGACAAAGCUCUCUCUUUGAAUAGGAACACCAGAAGGGAAAGCUUGGAUUGAAGUGCAGAAAAUGAGGGUGGUGAUAGAGAUAUUGACAGGAACUCUCUUCUCCAUUCAAGUGAAUGACAAUGCCACAGUUGCAGACCUCAAGAGGGAGAUAGAAGCCCAGGAAAAGCUCCCUUAUGAUCGACUCAUCUUGAUUCUCAGAACCAACCUCAAGAACCACUUGAUGGAUGAAGAUGAUCUUUCCCUUGUCGACUAUGGUGUUCGGGAUGGCUCUCACGUGUAUCUCUUCUUUGAUCCCCUCAAUGAUGAUAUGGAUUUUCGAACCACUUUCUUCUAACUUCCCUGGGUUCGAACCACUUUCUUCUAACUUCCCUGGGUUCGAACCACUUUCUUCUAACUGCCCUGGGUUCGAACCACUUUCUUUAAAUUAAUAUGUACUUCCUUUUCUUUUGUUUCUAGAUUCAGCAUGAAAACUACGUAGUUUAGUUUUGAGUUACUUGUAGUCAUGUUUCAAUUAGAAAACGCUUGGAGAAAUUUGGAAUAUAUUCUGCAGUCUGUAAGGGGCAAAAUCACUUGAAAUCGAACAAAGGAUGUUGCUUGUUACUUGAGCAUGUAACCUUUUGAGACUACAGUUAGACGUGGAUCACAAGUUUCCUAAGAGUUAUGAAGAAUAAUUUUCAUGGAUUCCCAUCAGGAAAACUGUAUUCUU